rnacentral:lncRNA from 1 species
GGGACUGCUACAUCGAAGGCUCCAUUGACUUUAUCUUCGGCCAUGCGAAGUCCGUCUUCAAGGUAGAAUAGAACAAUUCUUGCGAGAAACUGGAGAACUGUUAGUCGCCUUUCUCUCUUUUUCUUUGUCUACCUGAUCUUUUUCUUUUCUCAUGUACAGGCCUGUGAGCUCCACGCCAUCGCCGACAGCUUUGGCUCAGUCACCGCUCAGAACAGGGGAGACCCUCGCGAGAACUCUGGCUUCAUAUUUAUUGCCUGCACAGUGACAGGAAGUGGCACCAUUUUCUUAGGACGAGCUUGGGGAGCUUACUCUCGAGUCGUCUAUCUCUU